UACAGAGGGGGCAAGCGUUGUUCGGAAUUACUGGGCGUAAAGGGCGCGUAGGCGGCCUGUUAAGUCGAACGUGAAAUCCCCGGGCUCAACCCGGGAACUGCGUCCGAUACUGGCAGGCUUGAAUUCGGGAGAGGGAUGCGGAAUUCCAGGUGUAGCGGUGAAAUGCGUAGAUAUCGGAAGGAACACCGGUGGCGAAAGCGGCGCGCUGGAUCUCUUCUGACGCUGAGGCGCGAAAGCCAGGGGAGCGAACGGG
rnacentral:rRNA from 1 species